CGUAGGGUGCAAGCGUUAAUCGGAAUUACUGGGCGUAAAGCGUGCGCAGGCGGUGAUGUAAGACAGGUGUGAAAUCCCCGGGCUUAACCUGGGAACUGCAUUUGUGACUGCAUCGCUGGAGUGCGGCAGAGGGAGAUGGAAUUCCGCGUGUAGCAGUGAAAUGCGUAGAUAUGCGGAGGAACACCGAUGGCGAAGGCAAUCCCCUGGGCCUGCACUGACGCUCAUGCACGAAAGCGUGGGGAGCAAACAGGAUUAGAUACCCUGGUAGUCCACGCCCUAAACGAUGUCAACUGGUUGUUGGGUCUUCACUGACUCAGUAACGAAGCUAACGCGUGAAGUUGACCGCCUGGGGAGUACGGCCGCAAGGUUG
rnacentral:rRNA from 1 species